AAGAUACCCCCGUUGUGGAAUCCUGUAUUCUUGUGGAGACCCUGAUGUUGGUUCUGGAAACGACACCAGUGAUGUUUCUGGAGAAUCUGAAGAAGGAGAGCGCAAGAGAAAGAAGGCCCUACGUACCAAGGAAGCCAAAAAGGCCAAGUUGGCUUUGGAGGCAAACUUGGAGGCAAACUCGGACGAGGACAGCGACCUGUCGAGCGCUUUUUCGGAUUGCAGCCUCGACGAGGAUGACGACGAGUAAAUGGCUAUGGGAAAGAGAAAAGGAGGAGAAAUUCUAGAAAAGAGAGUCGAAAAAUUCAGAUUACAGUGCCUAUAUAUGUGUGUGUUUGUGUAUGUGUUUAAAAAAUGUCUGUGUCUUUCUGUUACCUUCUCUCUUUUUCCAUGUAUCGUACCUUGUCAGCUUUCUUUACUUUCAAAUAAAUCACUUGAUCUCCACAUGCUUUAAUGGCAGCAUCAAGUUUAUCUACAUUUAA